rnacentral:rRNA from 1 species
CCUACGGGUGGCAGCAGUGGGGAAUAUUGGACAAUGGGGGGAACCCUGAUCCAGCCAUGCCGCGUGUGUGAAGAAGGCCCUCGGGUUGUAAAGCACUUUCAGUGAGGAAGAACGCCUGGUGGUUAAUACCCAUCAGGAAAGACAUCACUCACAGAAGAAGCACCGGCUAACUCCGUGCCAGCAGCCGCGGUAAUACGGAGGGUGCGAGCGUUAAUCGGAAUUACUGGGCGUAAAGCGCGCGUAGGUGGCUUGAUAAGCCGGUUGUGAAAGCCCCGGGCUCAACCUGGGAACGGCAUCCGGAACUGUCAAGCUAGAGUGCAGGAGAGGAAGGUAGAAUUCCCGGUGUAGCGGUGAAAUGCGUAGAGAUCGGGGGGAAUACCAGUGGCGAAGGCGGCCUUCUGGACUGACACUGACACUGAGGUGCGAAAGCGUGGGUAGCAAACAGGAUUAGAUACCCCUGUAGUC